GACGAACGCUGGCGGCGUGCUUAACACAUGCAAGUCGAACGGAAAGGCCCCCAUCUUGGUGGGGGUGCUCGAGUGGCGAACGGGUGAGUAACACGUGGGUGAUCCGCCCUGUACUUCGGGAUAAGCUUGGGAAACUGGGUCUAAUAACGGAUAGGACCAUGGUUUAGUGUCUCAUGGUGGAAAGAUAAUUGUUUUGGUGCAGGAUGAGCUCGCGGCCUAUCAGCUUGUUGGUGGGGUAAUGGCCUAUCAAGGCGUCGACGGGUGGCCGGCCUGAGAGGGUGGACGGCCACAUUGAGACUGAGAAACGGCCCAGGCUACGACGGGAGGCAGCAGUGGGGAAUAUUGCACAAUGGGCGCAAGCCUGAUGCAGCGACGCCGCGUGGGGGAUGACGGCCUUCGGGUUGUAAACUCCUUUCGUUAGGGACGAAGCCACGCUUUUUGGGUGUGGUGACGGUACCUUUGUUAAGAAGCACCGGCUAACUACGUG
rnacentral:rRNA from 1 species